rnacentral:rRNA from 1 species
AACCCCUCGCAUUCAGUUGCCAUCGGGUAAUGCCGGGUCACUCUGGAAGGACUGCCAUCGACAAGAAUGGAGGAAGGUGGGGAUGACGUCAAGUCAUCAUGGCCCUUAUGUCCAGGGCGACACACGUGCUACAAUGGCCGGCACAACGGGAAGCGAGUUCGCGAGGACAAGCGGAUCCCUUAAAGCCGGUCGCAGUUCGGAUUGAAGUCUGCAACUCGACUUCAUGAAGCUGGAAUCGCUAGUAAUCGUGGAUCAGCCAAGCCGCGGUGAAUACGUUCCCGGGCCUU